rnacentral:lncRNA from 1 species
GAUAUUGCCAUCAUCAUCAACAUCAUCGCCCCAGAAGAAAAUUUUAGUAGAUGCGACUUUUCUGUACUUCAAAUCUUUCUUCAUUACCUUAUUGUUCUCUUUCAAAAACAUCUCGGGUGAAACUAAUAAUUCAUAGUUUAAUUUAAAUGAUACAGAAAAAGAUUCUGUUAAUUUUGUUUUUUGAGCUUCACCAUAUAAGUAUGGAGAUAACUUCUCUAUAAUUCUCUCCAAUACUUGUUUGUUGAUGUGAACGCCAUUAUUUGUGAUCGCUUUGAUAGUAUUUUAUGUCGACGUUAUUUAACUGAAGUGUUGGUCGGUGUUUGAAAUUAGCUUGGGGACGAAAGAUGUCAUGCUAGCUCUUGAUGAUAGUGAAGAUGAGAUGACUGUGUAGUUUCUGUUCACCGUAACUUCCAUAAGAACGACACGAAAUCGGUAUACAGUUUCAGGCAGAUACCAAUUUUCGCAGGUCAUUUCGAAUUUCAUAAAAUCGUUUGAUUCAUUCCAUGACAUGAUAGAUGCAGUUGAAUGCAUUGAAGCCAUUAUCAAACUUUCGAUUGAAAUGUGUAAAAGUGUC